rfam:Volvox carteri f. nagariensis unplaced genomic scaffold VOLCAscaffold_54, whole genome shotgun sequence.
GGGCUAUGACGAGUCGAUCCGAGUUUAUCCGCGCUGCUGAUGACAAACAGCCGUGAUGACGUGUACUCGAAGGUUGAAUUUCUUGAUCUGAGUCC